rnacentral:rRNA from 1 species
UAGGGAAUCUUCCACAAUGGGCGCAAGUCUGAUGGAGCAACGCCGCGUGAGUGAAGAAGGUCUUCGGAUCGUAAAACUCUGUUGUUAGAGAAGAACACGAGUGAGAGUAACUGUUCAUUCGAUGACGGUAUCUAACCAGCAAGUCACGGCUAACUACGUGCUAG